CGGUGUUUAACUGGCGUGAUGUGGGACGUCCUACCGGUGGGCUUAGCCUCGCGAGGGGCGGCCCAACUAAUAUCCCGUCGCGGUGCUCUUUACUGAGUGUCGAGUCGGGCCGGUACGUUUACUUUGAACAAAUUAGAGUGCUUAAAGCAGGCUAUCCUCGCCUGAAUACUGCGUGCAUGGAAUAAUGGAAUAGGACCUCGGUUCUAUUUUGUUGGUUUUCGGAACCCCGAGGUAAUGAUUAAUAGGGACAGAUGGGGGCAUUCGUAUUGCGACGUUAGAGGUGAAAUUCUUGGAUCGUCGCAAGACGGACAGAAGCGAAAGCAUUUGCCAAAAAUGUUUUCAUUAAUCAAGAACGAAAGUUAGAGGUUCGAAGGCGAUCAGAUACCGCCCUAGUUCUAACCAUAAACGAUGCCAGCUAGCGAUCCGCCGAAGUUCCUCCGAUGACUCGGCGGGCAGCUUCCGGGAAACCAAAGCUUUUGGGUUCCGGGGGAAGUAUGGUUGCAAAGCUGAAACUUAAAGGAAUUGACGGAAGGGCACCACCAGGAGUGGAGCCUGCGGCUUAAUUUGACUCAACACGGGAAACCUCACCAGGCCCAGACACCGGAAGGAUUGACAGAUUGAUAGCUCUUUCUUGAUUCGGUGGGUGGUGGUGCAUGGCCGUUCUUAGUUGGUGGAGCGAUUUGUCUGGUUAAUUCCGAUAACGAACGAGACUCUAGCCUGCUAAAUAGGCGUACCUUAUGGUAUCGCGAAGGCCCCCGGCUUCGGCCGGUGGGUUUUUAUUACCAACGUACAAACAAAUCUUCUUAGAGGGACAGGCGG
rnacentral:rRNA from 1 species